rnacentral:rRNA from 1 species
GAUGAACGCUGGCGGCGUGCCUAAUACAUGCAAGUCGAGCGAACAGAUGAGGAGCUUGCUCCUCUGACGUUAGCGGCGGACGGGUGAGUAACACGUGGAUAACCUACCUAUAAGACUGGGAUAACUUCGGGAAACCGGAGCUAAUACCGGAUAAUAUAUUGAACCUCAUGGUUCAAUAGUGAAAGACGGUUUUGCUGUCACUUAUAGAUGGAUCCGCGCCGCAUUAGCUAGUUGGUAAGGUAACGGCUUACCAAGGCAACGAUGCGUAGCCGACCUGAGAGGGUGAUCGGCCACACUGGAACUGAGACACGGUCCAGACUCCUACGGGAGGCAGCAGUAGGGAAUCUUCCGCAAUGGGCGAAAGCUUGACGGAGCAACGCCGCGUGAGUGAUGAAGGUCUUCGGAUCGUAAAACUCUGUUAUUAGGGAAGAACAAAUGUGUAAGUAACUAUGCACGUCUUGACGGUACCUAAUCAGAAAGCCACGGCUAACUACGUG